rnacentral:tRNA from 1 species
GAGGAAUUAGCUCAAUUGGCCAGAGCGUCCCGAAGUGAAUUCGGGAAGGUCCAUCGGUUCGACCCCAAUAUUCUCCA